rnacentral:misc_RNA from 1 species
UAAUUCAGAUCUGAUCUUUAACAUGGGGCAGUUCAAAUUACUGGGGUUUUGUUUCAGUAUGGGAAAUGGUCACUUUUGCUCUUUGAGUAUUGAGUUCUUGUUGGAAGCUUGAACUGCAUUUCUGGAUAUGUGAAAGCAGUUUUACUUGACAUGUCUUUUGAUAUUUUUAUUGUGAUGUUUUUCCCUUUUUACCAGAGUUUUUGAAGGCCAAGU